UUAAGCGACUAAGCGUACACGGUGGAUGCCCUGGCAGUCAGAGGCGAUGAAGGACGUGCUAAUCUGCGAUAAGCGUCGGUAAGGUGAUAUGAACCGUUAUAACCGGCGAUUUCCGAAUGGGGAAACCCAGUGUGUUUCGACACACUAUCAUUAACUGAAUCCAUAGGUUAAUGAGGCGAACCGGGGGAACUGAAACAUCUAAGUACCCCGAGGAAGAGAAAAUCAAACCGAGAUUCCCCCAGUAGCGGCGAGCGAACGGGGAGGAGCCCGAGAGCCUGAAUCAGUGUGUGUGUUAGUGGAAGCGUCUGGAAAGGCGCGCGAUACAGGGUGACAGCCCCGUACACAAAAAUGCACAUACUGUGAGCUCGAUGAGUAGGGCGGGACACGUGGUAUCCUGUCUGAAUAUGGGGGGACCAUCCUCCAAGGCUAAAUACUCCUGACUGACCGAUAGUGAACCAGUACCGUGAGGGAAAGGCGAAAAGAACCCCGGCGAGGGGAGUGAAAAAGAACCUGAAACCGUGUACGUACAAGCAGUGGGAGCACGCUUAGGCGUGUGACUGCGUACCUUUUGUAUAAUGGGUCAGCGACUUAUAUUCUGUAGCAAGGUUAACCGAAUAGGGGAGCCGAAGGGAAACCGAGUCUUAACUGGGCGUUAAGUUGCAGGGUAUAGACCCGAAACCCGGUGAUCUAGCCAUGGGCAGGUUGAAGGUUGGGUAACACUAACUGGAGGACCGAACCGACUAAUGUUGAAAAAUUAGCGGAUGACUUGUGGCUGGGGGUGAAAGGCCAAUCAAACCGGGAGAUAGCUGGUUCUCCCCGAAAGCUAUUUAGGUAGCGCCUCGUGAAUUCAUCUCCGGGGGUAGAGCACUGUUUCGGCAAGGGGGUCAUCCCGACUUACCAACCCGAUGCAAACUGCGAAUACCGGAGAAUGUUAUCACGGGAGACACACGGCGGGUGCUAACGUCCGUCGUGAAGAGGGAAACAACCCAGACCGCC
rnacentral:rRNA from 1 species